AACGAACGCUGGCGGCAGGCUUAACACAUGCAAGUCGAACGCCCCGCAAGGGGAGUGGCAGACGGGUGAGUAACGCGUGGGAAUCUACCCUGAUCUGCGGGAUAGCUCCGGGAAACUGGAAUUAAUACCGCAUAUGUCCUGAUGGACAAAGAUUGAUCGGUUCAGGAUGAGCCCGCGUCCGAUUAGCUAGUUGGUGGGGUAAAGGCCUACCAAGGCGACGAUCGGUAGCUGAUCUAAGAGGAUGAUCAGCCACAUUGGGACUGAGACACGGCCCAAACUCCUACGGGAGGCAGCAGUGGGGAAUAUUGGACAAUGGGCGCAAGCCUGAUCCAGCCAUGCCGCGUGAGUGAUGAAGGUCUUAGGAUUGUAAAGCUCUUUCACCGGGGACGAUAAUGACGGUACCCGGAGAAGAAGCCCCGGCUAACUUCGUGCCAGCCGCCGCGGUAA
rnacentral:rRNA from 1 species